rnacentral:tRNA from 2 species
GGCUGAAUAGCUCAGUAGGUAGAGCAAACGUCUCAUAAGCGUUCGGUCGGCGGUUCAAUUCCGCCUUCAGCCA